CCUAGCUGCGAGGCAGUUAAUCCAUGGUCUACUCACCUGAGACCGUGCUAAUUGUUUGAGAUAAAAAACUGGAGCCCAUGAGAUCAAACAACACUCUUUUUCCAUGAUGUUAAUUGGCCUCUUAUUUUUUGCAUGACUCCACGUUGUCUAGAUGUCCCACUUCAAUUGAUUGGAACUGAACCUGAUUCCAAGCUGAAGGAUAUACAAUGGGAUGACAAACACUCGAUGGAACUCUAGAACCUUCAUGAGAUAGCGAAGGAGACAGGUUUAUGACCUGGAUGAUUUCCCGCAGAUGAUCAAAUAGGUUUAUGACCUGGAUGAUUUCGACGAAAAUACUGGUCAUUGUGUAUAGAUAAAGAAGUGAUAAGUAUAUCAUGAUCAUCGCUGUAGAGAAUUCUGCAUUGAGCUCAGUUAGUGGAUAGCUUCUGGACAGAUCGUUUCGUGAAUUUUUACUUGUUUUAUCAUGGAUUUCAUGCAGCACCUAUAGAACAAGAAGGGCACAAACUAGGGAGUUAAAAAGGCAUAUGGAGGGGCAUGAGGAUGGAACUUGUUGAGUAUUUUUCGUAUCAAAAUAGCAUUGAGGUUCCUAUCUU